rnacentral:lncRNA from 1 species
UUGUACUCCCGCAAGUUUCAAUGAGGUCACGGUAUCCAUCAUGUACAUCACGUGUGUCGUUCCGAGAAUAUGUUGAACAGGCCAUAAUGUAGAAACCUCUGGAUUGCAUGUAGUCCGAGUUUUCCCGGUGCUACACCUUGUUAAAGGGACAGUUUUAGGGUCGAUUUGUCGGCGCGAAGACCCAGACGCGGGAUGCGUUUUUCUGUCGUCACAUUGAUCCUGGCUCUGGUGGUACGUCAUGAUGGCGCCAGCGCGAGCAUCACGUGGGCCACGCGCCAGAUCUUCGAGCAAGUGAUCAACACGGUCACGAGCCUUAAGAGCCCUGCAAGAUGCGGAACCGAACAAAGAAUCAGAUUUCCCCGGAAACUCGCUCAUAAUCUUGAGUUACCUGCUUUUGCUUCCAUUUUUGAUGUGAUGGCCAAUCAUAUACUGGAUAUUGACAAGCAAGAACAUCUACCAUUACAAUUUGCCAAGUACAAACACCAAAUAACAAAGCUCCCCGAGCAACUGAUGGAACUGCGUGGUCACCUGCUUAACGUAAGCGGAUAUGUUACGGGAGUUGAAAAAUCUCUCACCGAUGUUGGUCAAACUUUUUCUGAUCAGUCUGUCUGUACUCAGCAGGAACAAUUGAAAAAUCGUAUGAAAAAGACGGAGGGAAGAAAGAACCUCAACGCAUAUAUCAAAAGACUGAAGAAUCUACCGAUGGACACCGACUGUGGUUUCUGGGUCAUGCUCAGCGCCGUCCGACAAUCCGUGAACACACUAACCACCACAGUCCUCAACCUCCGACGACGCCACUCUCAUCGGUGAACGCUUUCGACCGAAAGAGACCGUGCCUUGUUUGCCAAGCCAACGGAAUACCUCACCGUAAAGUCCAAGUUCACUUGUGACCCCGAUGACCACUGGCCCCAGAACUCUUACAUCAUUCAGUCGACCUGUCAGAAACUGUUUAUUGGAGUUAUCCAUGCAAACCAAUUUAUGCAGGUUUCUAUCUUUUCACUGUGACCUUUCAAGUUUACAUACCGAGCUCAAUAAAUCACGAAGGGAAGUGAACUCUGAGUGAUAUGCCAUUCGAGUUCCAAAGGAGAACAGCUGGGAUAACAUGAACAGUAACAGGGUGUUCCAGAAGAGUAUUACAUAAAAAUCAUAUUCAACAUCAAAUGAGCCUUACAGGGAUAUUAAAAGUGACAUGCACGGUGAAAUCGCACAUUAACAUCUGGAGAAGAAAGUUGGGUAUUUCAUCAAAAUUGUUUUCUGUGUAAUGUUUGUGAAAGAAAUAUUUUAUUCGACACCCGGGGGGG